rnacentral:rRNA from 1 species
CAGUCGCCACGGGAAUACGAAGGGGGCUAGCGUUGUUCGGAAUCACUGGGCGUAAAGGGUGCGUAGGCGGAUUCUUAAGUCAGGGGUGAAAUCCCGAGGCUCAACCUCGGAACUGCCUUUGAUACUGGGGAUCUUGAGUCCGGAAGAGGUGAGUGGAACUGCGAGUGUAGAGGUGAAAUUCGUAGAUAUUCGCAAGAACACCGGUGGCGAAGGCGGCUCACUGGUCCGGGACUGACGCUGAGGCACGACAGCGUGGGGAGCAAACAGGAUUAGAUACCCGGGUAGUCCCUGUCUCUUAUAC